GAGAAGUCGUAACAAGGUUUCCGUAGGUGAACUGCGGAAGGAUCAUUC
rnacentral:rRNA from 1 species